GAAAGCAACUUGAACAUCUGCAAAUUGUUCUUUCAACUGCAGCAAGAAAAGGAAAGAGAGGUAACGUUUUGACCCUGAGACAUGGGUGGAAGUACACAGCAAACUUGAGAUUGUCAGCUAAUAAUUCGGAUUCAUGAUCUCAUAACUUAUGUUGGGAUGAGUGCUGUCAAAUGUUAUAACAUGCUGCACUAUGGCUUUAUUACAGUCCUGGGCAGCUUUCUCAACAAACACUAUCAACCUGUCACUUGUUCCAUCUGUGUUUAUAUAUAAUGCUGCUAAUGUCCUAAGGUCUUGUAUCUAGGAAGUCAGAGUUUUUUUUUUGUUGUUGUUUGUUUGUUUUUGUUUAUAUGUAUAUAUUUAAAACUACAAAAAUACUGAGAAUUAAAAUUAAAUGCUAAUCUUAUAAAGUUGGAUGUUUCUCUUUAAGGUUGUCUUAAAAACUAUUUCUUUAUGUACCUGCUUAACCUUUUGUGAUAAUUAAUGCAAACAUUGCAUUUACAUGACAUAAUUAGAAGCUAGUGGCAACUUUUCCUAUGCUGACCGCAUUGUGACAGCUUCACUAAAGAAACUGUUUCAUAAUAAAGAUAUCAAGUAUGAAUAUCUUAAGUGGAUCAGGAUUCAUCAGAGCAGUAUCUGUUACUUGAUGGGCCAUAGCUUAUAAUGUGUUAUAUUCUGGAAGAUCCAAAAAAAAGAUUUUUAACCAAAAAAAAGGUAUUAAGGAGACACUUCAAGGUAAGUCAAAAUUUCAGCUGAUCUUAAGACAGAGAUUCAUAAGCACAGGGGUAGAUGUUAUGCAUGUGGCUGUGGGAGUGGAUGGCCCAGAAGAACUCUAGGGCAGUACAGAGUGCAAGCUGGCUGCAUCCUGACUAACCAAAAUCUGCUUCAUCCUCAGUUAUGUGAAAGGAGGUUAAGAUCUAGAUUUUUGGGUGCAUACACACUCAUCAGAAAAGUAUGUUUCUAUGAAGUUUUCUAUUUUACAUAAUUCAUGUACCAUGUGUUUGUGGCUAAGUGGUUUUAGGGCUAAUACAGCCUUAGGACUAGAAGAAAUAGAGUUUAUUAACAAAGACAUAUAUUUCCAGGUAAGCUUUGAAAUUGAUAUAUCUUAACUAGUUCCUUCAUUUGAGAGACUGCUAACAUAUGUCCCAUAUGUCUCUUCUGAAAUAACUUGUUCAUAAAUUGUGUUUUUAACCUUCUUCUCCCUAAGUCUUUCGAUUCUAGAAGUGGCAUGUGUUUAUUGUUUGUUUUUGGUUUUUGUUUAUUUAUUUUUUUCCUACAGACUCUGUAUAAUUCUAAAGUAUGAAAUCAAAUCAUUUAUUAUUAUUAUAAUUUUUAAUUCCAUGGUAACUAUUAUGAAGGAAAUGUAAAAUUUCCAUCAUGCAAAUUAUUCCAGCUUUGUCUUCUGGAAAAUAAAUAUAAAUUUUCUAGCUAUUUUCUUUCUUCU
rnacentral:lncRNA from 1 species